AAAGAGUGAGAAACGAGGAAAUCAGAAACAGAACAUCGGCACAAGAAACAGUAAUUCAACGAAUAGAGAAAAGAGGUUUGAGAUGGUUUGGUCAUCUAAUGAGGAUGGAGGACACAAGAUGGCCAAAACGUGUAUUCAAAUGGUCACCCACUGGAAGAAA